rnacentral:rRNA from 1 species
GACGAACGCUGGCGGCGUGCUUAACACAUGCAAGUCGAGCGGAAAGGCCUCUUCGGGGGUACUCGAGCGGCGAACGGGUGAGUAACACGUGAGCAACCUGCCCUGGACUUUGGGAUAACCCUCGGAAACGGGGGCUAAUACCGAAUAUUACUGCCGGCCGCAUGGUUGGUGGUGGAAAGUUUUUCGGUCUGGGAUGGGCUCGCGGCCUAUCAGCUUGUUGGUGGGGUGAUGGCCUACCAAGGCGACGACGGGUAGCCGGCCUGAGAGGGCGACCGGCCACACUGGGACUGAGACACGGCCCAGACUCCUACGGGAGGCAGCAGUGGGGAAUAUUGCACAAUGGGCGGAAGCCUGAUGCAGCGACGCCGCGUGAGGGAUGACGGCCUCGGUUGUAACCGUACUUCUAGCAGGGACGAAG